GCCGGGCGGAGUUUUGCAAGGUUGUAGUAACUCUGUCUGUGGCAGCUAAGGACCGACCGUUGUACGUCCUCUUGUCAUGUUGAACGCAUGCCUAACACUUAGUUGGCCGGAUAACUCGUUCCGACCGCGAAGCCUAGUAGUAUGACUCAGGCCGAAAGACCGGCAAGUAUAAAGUGCACACUACCGGAGGAAGUGCGGUGUGCGGGGGACCAUUGGCGUAAGACCAAAGGCAGGUGAGUUAAAAUUCCUGACCUCCCUGGCAGAGUGGUAGCCCUGGGAGUGGGGCG
rnacentral:lncRNA from 1 species